GCCGCUGGUCUCUCCUAGUCUCGCGUGCGUCUCGGCGAUGCUCUCCGCCCUGAGACAGCUUUUCGGUCCGUCUGUCCUGGCCGUCAGGAGUGUGUGACUUGCGCUGCGGACCGCACGGUGCAGACCCCCUCAGCGCGAAGCUGCACCCGGCCGUGAGGGGCUGAGUGGCUGUGAGGAGAGGUCAGGUGCCUGUGGUGAUGCUGAAGACUUGGAUCGUGAUUCAUUAGAGCUCAAAAUGGCGACACGGGAAAGAAGUCGGAGGUGACGAACGUACCUUAGAGGUGGUAGAGCAGAUGCUUUCACAGGCGUUGUUUCAGAUCACCCUCGCAAAACCCCGGGAGGCGGGCCUUUAAGUCACCAUCCUAAAGACGGAAAAGACGCCCUGACAGGAGACUUGCCCAAUAUCACACAGCCAGCCGGUCGAUGGAAGAGGCGUGACUCGAACCCAAGUUCCCUGUUCUUUUUUAAAAACGAAUUUAGGGUUUAGGGUUUAUUUCUCUGAUGGGUCACUACUGUAGAGGAACCAUGUUAAUACAUAGAAAAAGCUUUUCUGCCUUCAAGAGUGGCCCCUAAAAAAGAUGGAUUCGAAACUUUAAAAGUGGAGGGGGAAAGCAGUCGUUUUUGUCCUCAUUUGCAAACGUGUCCGUGGUGAAUAUUUGACUUAACAAAUAAGAGCAUUUGUAUAUCAAGCUAACAAACACUGAGGCCUCCUCCACUUCUCUGCCUACUCUGUUGACCCGAUCAUCUGGACCACCCUUACUCUUGAGCAUCUACCAAUAAAAGAAGAGAAUUUCAGCUUGUUCUCAAAGAAUACCAAAAUAGUCUAAGAAAGAAAAAAAAAGUCUUAAGCUCUCAUAAGCACAUAAUCAGAUCUUACCAUCUUUCAUGGGGCCUAUUGUUUGGUUCCCGCAUUGGUCGUUCUAAAAUUGGCUGAUACAUCAAACAGCAAGAGUAGCAGUGUAAACUACUCUGAUGGCCACUGGAAAGAGUAACUGUCCCUACCUGGUCAUAUCCCAGGGAGCUUCAUUGUCCUGAUAAGUGCCCUUCUUGAAAGUGUGUUGGUUACAUUGCUUCUGCAAAGAUCAAAGAGAGAUAGGUUAUCCUUGGUCACCUUUCAGAUUUUCUACUUGUCAAAGUAAGAACUCUGUUCACUGUACGUGUGUCUCAUGCACUUCUAGGUGAGACCGUGGCAGGAGAUCACAUGCAGGGUAGAUCCAGGAA